AGUGAACGCUGGCGGUAGGCCUAACACAUGCAAGUCGAACGGCAGCACAGUAAGAGCUUGCUCUUACGGGUGGCGAGUGGCGGACGGGUGAGGAAUACAUCGGAAUCUACUUUUUCGUGGGGGAUAACGUAGGGAAACUUACGCUAAUACCGCAUACGACCUACGGGUGAAAGCAGGGGAUCUUCGGACCUUGCGCGAUUGAAUGAGCCGAUGUCGGAUUAGCUAGUUGGCGGGGUAAAGGCCCACCAAGGCGACGAUCCGUAGCUGGUCUGAGAGGAUGAGCAGCCACACUGGAUCUGAGACACGGUCCAGACUCCUACGGGAGGCCGCAGUGGGGACUAUUGGACAAUGGGCGCAAGCCUGAUCCAGCCAUACCGCGUGGGUGAAGAAGGCCUUCGGGUUGUAAAGCCCUUUUGUUGGGAAAGAAAAGCAGCAGGUUAAUACCCCGCUGUUCUGACGGUACCCAAAGAAUAAGCACCGGCUAACUUCGU
rnacentral:rRNA from 1 species